GCUCUAACACUAUCAGCCUUCACGGCGGCGGAUUGACUAGGGCUCUCUAGACCGCGGGCAUGCAGUCUUUCUUAGCAUAUAGAGGGGAGGUGUUCUUUAACGCCAAUCAGUAUUUUGGUAUAAUUCUCUGCCAAUGAAUUGUUGACAUCUGUCCAUGGCUGCUGAUCACCGAAGAAAAAGGCGUAAUGGUGCCAGCAUUGCAGGUUGCAGUUCUUGGGAGCAAUACAAAACCAAAAAGAAAAAAUUGGAAUCACCAAAAAAUGAGUUUAAUGUAAAGUCUCAUAUUUCUCUGGAGUGGGAUGGCAACCGAAAAGAGGUUGUUGCCAAAAGGGAACAAAUUGGC
rnacentral:misc_RNA from 1 species